CCUACGGGAGGCUGCAGUGAGGAAUAUUGGUCAAUGGACGAGAGUCUGAACCAGCCAAGUAGCGUGAAGGAUGACUGCCCUAUGGGUUGUAAACUUCUUUUAUAAAGGAAUAAAACGAGGCACGUGUGCCUUUUUGCAUGUACUUUAUGAAUAAGGAUCGGCUAACUCCGUGCCAGCAGCCGCGGUAAUACGGAGGAUCCGAGCGUUAUCCGGAUUUAUUGGGUUUAAAGGGAGCGUAGGUGGAUUGUUAAGUCAGUUGUGAAAGUUUGCGGCUCAACCGUAAAAUUGCAGUUGAAACUGGCAGUCUUGAGUACAGUAGAGGUGGGCGGAAUGCGUGGUGUAGCGGUGAAAUGCUUAGAUAUCACGAAGAACUCCGAUUGCGAAGGCAGCAUACCGGCGCUCAACUGACGCUCAUGCACGAAAGUGUGGGUAUCGAACAGGAUUAGAUACCCUAGUAGUC
rnacentral:rRNA from 1 species